rnacentral:lncRNA from 1 species
CCCACUUGGUCCUGGAGCGUCCUUCCUCCUCAGCAAUCUUUCUGCUUUCUGUGAGCUGCCAGAGGCUUCAGGAGCCCCCCACGCAGCAAAUGCCCCUUGGUCCCUCAUUUGGAACAGAGCAACAUGUGGCCUGGGUGCCUGUCUGCCACUUCACCACCAGGCGCUGAUGGUGCCUAGUGUCUUCCCCUCCUUCCACAGAAUAAAGGAGGAGAGGCUGGUGUGGGUGAGCCAGGGACACGCCAGAGCCUAAACCAUGCCAGUCCCCACCUGUCCGAUCAAUUUCCUGUUCUCUGCACCAGGCCCCCAUCCGUGCCAGCA